CCUACGGGAGGCAGUAGUGAGGAAUAUUGGUCAAUGGACGAGAGUCUGAACCAGCCAAGUAGCGUGAAGGAUGACUGCCCUAUGGGUUGUAAACUUCUUUUAUAUGGGAAUAAAAUGUUCCACGUGUGGGAUUUUGUAUGUACCAUAUGAAUAAGGAUCGGCUAACUCCGUGCCAGCAGCCGCGGUAAUACGGAGGAUCCGAGCGUUAUCCGGAUUUAUUGGGUUUAAAGGGAGCGUAGGUGGAUUGUUAAGUCAGUUGUGAAAGUUUGCGGCUAAACCGUAAAAUUGCAGUUGAAACUGGCAGUCUUGAGUACAGUAGAGGUGGGCGGAAUUCGUGGUGUAGCGGUGAAAUGCUUAGAUAUCACGAAGAACUCCGAUUGCGAAGGCAGUUCACUGGACUGCAACUGACACUGAGGCUCGAAAGUGUGGGUAUCAAACAGGAUUAGAUACCCCAGUAGUC
rnacentral:rRNA from 1 species